rnacentral:rRNA from 1 species
AUUGAACGCUGGCGGCAGGCCUAACACAUGCAAGUCGAGCGGAUGAAGGGUGCUUGCUCCUGGAUUCAGCUUCGGACGGGUGUGUAAUGCCUAUGAAUCUGCCUGGUAGUGGGGGAUAACGUCCGUUAACGGGCGCUAAUACCGCAUACGUCCUUAGGGUGAAAGUGUGGGUUCUUCGGACCUCUCGCUAUCAGAUGUGCCUAGGUCGGAUUAGCUAGUUGGUUUGGUAAAGGCAUACCAAGGCGACGAUCCGUAACUGGUGUGAGAGGAUGAUCAGUCAAACUGGAACUGAGACACGGACAAGAAGCCUACGGGAGGAAGCAGAGGGGAAUAUUGGACAAUGGGCGAAAGCAGGAUACAGCAAAGCCGCGUGAGUGAAGAAGGUCUUAGGAUUGUAAAGAACUUUAAGUUGGGAGGAAGGGAAGUAAGUUAAAACCUUGAUGUAUUGACGUUACCAAAAGAAUAAGCACCGGCUAACUACGUG